CAGUAAGUGGCAUAGUGGUUUGAGUAUUGGACUACAACUCUAGAGACCAGGGUUCGAUUCCCACUUGAUCA
rnacentral:tRNA from 1 species